rnacentral:rRNA from 1 species
GAUGAACGCUGGCGGCGUGCCUAACACAUGCAAGUCGAGCGGUAUAUAUCUGAACAAAUCUUCGGAAGAGUGAUGGUAUAGAGAGCGGCGGACGGGUGAGUAACGCGUAGGCAACCUGCCCCAUACAGAGGGAUAGCCUCGGGAAACCGGGAUUAAAACCUCAUAACGCUGGGAGUUCACAUGGACACCUAGCCAAAGAUUUAUCGGUAUGGGAUGGGCCUGCGUCUGAUUAGCUAGUUGGUAAGGUAACGGCCUACCAAGACUACGAUCAGUAGCCGACCUGAGAGGGUGAUCGGCCACAUUGGAACUGAGACACGGUCCAAACUCCUACGGGUGGCUG